GGAGGAUCACUUAGUCCCUAAAGCGAUGAAAAACGUAGUAAUUUGUGGAAAUUGAUGUGAGUUGUGAAAUUUUGUGAGCAUUGUGUUUUUGAAUGAAAAUUUCAGCAUAGGUGCAAGAGUAUCUACGCUGCACUUGUUUCAGUAUAUUGACAUAGAAAUACGUAGUUACUAUUGCUG
rnacentral:rRNA from 1 species